rnacentral:ncRNA from 1 species
AUUUAUAAGAAUAUGAUGUUGGUUCAGAUUAAGCGCUAAAUAAGGACAUGACACAUGCGAAUCAUACGUUUAUUAUUGAUAAGAUAAUAAAUAUGUGGUGUAAACGUGAGUAAUUUUAUUAGGAAUUAAUGAACUAUAGAAUAAGCUAAAUACUUAAUAUAUUAUUAUAUAAAAAUAAUUUAUAUAAUAAAAAGGAUAUAUAUAUAAUAUAUAUUUAUCUAUAGUCAAGCCAAUAAUGGUUUAGGUAGUAGGUUUAUUAAGAGUUAAACCUAGCCAACGAUCCAUAAUCGAUAAUGAAAGUUAGAACGAUCACGUUGACUCUGAAAUAUAGUCAAUAUCUAUAAGAUACAGCAGUGAGGAAUAUUGGACAAUGAUCGAAAGAUUGAUCCAGUUACUUAUUAGGAUGAUAUAUAAAAAUAUUUUAUUUUAUUUAUAAAUAUUAAAUAUUUAUAAUAAUAAUAAUAAUAAUAUAUAUAUAUAAAUUGAUUAAAAAUAAAAUCCAUAAAUAAUUAAAAUAAUGAUAUUAAUUACCAUAUAUAUUUUUAUAUGGAUAUAUAUAUUAAUAAUAAUAUUAAUUUUAUUAUUAUUAAUAAUAUAUUUUAAUAGUCCUGACUAAUAUUUGUGCCAGCAGUCGCGGUAACACAAAGAGGGCGAGCGUUAAUCAUAAUGGUUUAAAGGAUCCGUAGAAUGAAUUAUAUAUUAUAAUUUAGAGUUAAUAAAAUUAAUUAAAGAAUUAUAAUAGUAAAGAUGAAAUAAUAAUAAUAAUUAUAAGACUAAUAUAUGUGAAAAUAUUAAUUAAAUAUUAACUGACAUUGAGGGAUUAAAACUAGAGUAGCGAAACGGAUUCGAUACCCGUGUAGUUCUAGUAGUAAACUAUGAAUACAAUUAUUUAUAAUAUAUAUUAUAUAUAAAUAAUAAAUGAAAAUGAAAGUAUUCCACCUGAAGAGUACGUUAGCAAUAAUGAAACUCAAAACAAUAGACGGUUACAGACUUAAGCAGUGGAGCAUGUUAUUUAAUUCGAUAAUCCACGACUAACCUUACCAUAUUUUGAAUAUUAUAAUAAUUAUUAUAAUUAUUAUAUUACAGGCGUUACAUUGUUGUCUUUAGUUCGUGCUGCAAAGUUUUAGAUUAAGUUCAUAAACGAACAAAACUCCAUAUAUAUAAUUUUAAUUAUAUAUAAUUUUAUAUUAUUUAUUAAUAUAAAGAAAGGAAUUAAGACAAAUCAUAAUGAUCCUUAUAAUAUGGGUAAUAGACGUGCUAUAAUAAAAUGAUAAUAAAAUUAUAUAAAAUAUAUUUAAUUAUAUUUAAUUAAUAAUAUAAAACAUUUUAAUUUUUAAUAUAUUUUUUUAUUAUAUAUUAAUAUGAAUUAUAAUCUGAAAUUCGAUUAUAUGAAAAAAGAAUUGCUAGUAAUACGUAAAUUAGUAUGUUACGGUGAAUAUUCUAACUGUUUCGCACUAAUCACUCAUCACGCGUUGAAACAUAUUAUUAUCUUAUUAUUUAUAUAAUAUUUUUUAAUAAAUAUUAAUAAUUAUUAAUUUAUAUUUAUUUAUAUCAGAAAUAAUAUGAAUUAAUGCGAAGUUGAAAUACAGUUACCGUAGGGGAACCUGCGGUGGGCUUAUAAAUAUC